UACGUAGGGGGCAAGCGUUGUCCGGAAUCAUUGGGCGUAAAGCGCGCGUAGGCGGCCCGGUAAGUCCGCUGUAAAAGUCCAGGGCUCAACCCUGGAAAGCCGGUGGAUACUGUCGGGCUAGAGUCCGGAAGAGGCGAGUGGAAUUCCUGGUGUAGCGGUGGAAUGCGCAGAUAUCAGGAGGAACACCGAUGGCGAAGGCAGCUCGCUGGGACGGUGACUGACGCUGAGGCGCGAAAGCGUGGGGAGCGAACAGG
rnacentral:rRNA from 1 species